rnacentral:tRNA from 2 species
GUGCCCAUAGCUCAGCAGGAUAGAGCGUCGGUUUCCUAAACCGCAGGCCGGAGGUUCGAAUCCUCUUGGGCACACCA